GGAGGGAUGUGUUAGAAUCCUCAAGAUUGAGGAGGGACUCCUUGUACACUAACAAUAUCAUUUGUCUACUUUCACUCAUAGCCUUUUUCAACUCACUCUCCUUUGCAUAGAAGUUGACCUUUGGCUUUUCUCUCCGCUCAGCUGACUCUUUUUCUCUCUUCUCAACUAACUCCUUUUCUUUCCCCUCAUGUGGCUCCUCUCUCUUUUCUCCACUCUUAGCCACCUCACUAUUUUCUCUCUUAUCGAUGGUUUCACUAUUG
rnacentral:lncRNA from 1 species